GAGGGGGAUCCCGCAGCGGCGGGGCCAGCGGGGGCGGGCGGUGACGCAGUCCCCCACGCGCAGCCCCCCCCCAGACGGUAAAGCAACUGCUGAAGGAGCUGCGGCAGCAGCAGAGCGGGGAAGGGGCAAGAUCCCCGGGUUUGGCUGUGCCCCCUCCACACCCCGCGGAUGGUGAGUGACUUCUGACCCCCCCGGUGCCCCCCGAAAUACCACUCAUUGCCCUCCCACUCCCCUCCUGUGGCCCCAAUUGCCACCCUCCCAUGCCCCCCAUUGCCCCCCAAUCCCCCCUUGUGCCUCCCAGAUCCUCCCCAU